GGUUCUCAACCUUUUUUGGGCCAGCGCCCCCCUACCCAUUAUUCAGGUACCUCACCGCCCCCAUCAAAUAAAAAAUCUUCUAAUAAUCU